rnacentral:tRNA from 1 species
AAGUAUCUACCCAUACUGCUUUAGACAGAAUAAUGAGUACAACCGCUGUUACAAGACCAACUACACCACCAAU